ACAGCAGCAACCAUCCAGCAUCUCUGCAUUACGAGAGUGUACUCGUUACCGCGAGUUACAGCUCAAACUUCUCUUUGAAAAUACAACAAAUAAAAACUGUUCGUAUGUCCAGCGAAGUCUAAUCGCCGAUUUAGUUCGAUCGUAGUGCCGGAGUACCCGGAAGAACGGCAGACGUGCUCGUAAUUGGUCUGUUCAAAAAAGUGUGAAGUUCGAAAGCGGGCGAAUAACGAGUUCAUCAAGCACAUGUCGCAACAAUUGGCCAUCGGACCUUUUAGCAUGAAAGUUAGUUAGUGUCUUGCCCCGUGCUUGGUUACCCGUGCGUACAUACAACGAAUCUGGUCGUUUCGUGAACAGUGGUGUUUACACUAUAAAUAACUACUAAAUAAAUAAAUACUAAUAACUACACGAUAAAUAAAUUGAUUAUUGCGUUCUUCGUCGAUCUUUAAUCCGUGUAGCUAACUAUAGUAGCUUACAAUGAAGAUUCUGUUCGCAUUCUUAUUGCUGAUCGUCACCGUGACCGCGGCUCCAUGGAUCGAGAUUCUGUUCGGCGAUCAGUCCGGUUACAAUUAUCGUCCGCCGAAUCAGGGGAAGCAAGA